rnacentral:rRNA from 1 species
GACGAACGCUGGCGGCAUGCUUAACACAUGCAAGUCGCGCGGCCGGCAACGGCAGCGGCGGACGGGUGAGUAACGCGUAGGAAUGUAUCCUGAGGUGGGGGACAACCCUGGGAAACUGGGGCUAAUACCGCAUGGGAGCUGAGGCUCAAAGCCUUCGGGUGCCUUGGGAGCAGCCUGCGUCCGAUUAGCUAGUUGGUGGGGUAAUGGCCUACCAAGGCGGCGAUCGGUAGCUGGUCUGAGAGGACGAUCAGCCACACUGGGACUGAGACACGGCCCGGGAUCCUACGGGAGGCAGCAGGGGUGAAUAUUGAACAAUGGGCGCAAGCCUGAUCCAGCAAUGCCGCGUGGGUGAAGAAGGUCUUCGGAUUGUAAAGCCCUUUCGGCGGGGACGAUGAUGACGGUACCCGCAGAAGAAGCCCCGGCUAACUUCGUGCCAGCCGCCGCCGUAAAAC